rnacentral:rRNA from 1 species
GAUGAACGCUGGCGGCGUGCCUAAUACAUGCAAGUCGAGCGAACAGACGAGGAGCUUGCUCCUCUGACGUUAGCGGCGGACGGGUGAGUAACACGUGGAUAACCUACCCAUAAGACUGGGAUAACUUCGGGAAACCGGAGCUAAUACUGGAUAAUAUAUUGAACCGCAUGGUUCAAUAGUGAAAGACGGUUUUGCUGUCACUUAUAGAUGGAUCCGCGCCGCAUUAGCUAGUUGGUAAGGUAACGGCUUACCAAGGCAACGAUGCGUAGCCGACCUGAGAGGGUGAUCGGCCACACUGGAACUGAGACACGGUCCAGACUCCUACGGGAGGCAGCAGUAGGGAAUCUUCCGCAAUGGGCGAAAGCCUGACGGAGCAACGCCGCGUGAGUGAUGAAGGUCUUCGGAUCGUAAAACUCUGUUAUUAGGGAAGAACAAAUGUGUAAGUAACUAUGCACGUCUUGACGGUACCUAAUCAGAAAGCCACGGCUAACUACGUG